rnacentral:rRNA from 1 species
AGUGAACGCUGGCGGCGUGCCUAAUACAUGCAAGUCGAACGGAGUGGCGCACGGGUGAGUAAUAUAUAGCUAACUUGCCCCUUGCUGGAGGACAACAGUUGGAAAUGACUGCAAAAACUCCAUAGCAAGGGAUGAGACUAUAUCGUAUCAGCUAGUCGGUGGGGUAACGGCCUACCGAGGCGAUGACGCGUAACUGGUCUGAGAGGAUGAGCAGUAGCAUUCGAACGGAGACACGAUCCAGACAUCUACGGGAAGGAGCGGAAGGGAAUAGUGCGCAAUGGGCGAAACUCUAGCAGGCCAACGGCUCGUAAAGUAUGUCACUUUACGAGGAAGAAACUCCUUUUAUUAGGGAAGCGGUACCUAACGAAUAAGCACCGGCUAACUCCGUGCCAGCAGCCGCGGUAAUUC